UAGGGAAUCUUCGGCAAUGGGGGGAACCCUGACCGAGCAACGCCGCGUGAGUGAAGAAGGUUUUCGGAUCGUAAAGCUCUGUUGUUAAGGAAGAACGAGUGUGAGAAUGGAAAGUUCAUGCUGUGACGGUACUUAACCAGAAAGGGACGGCUAACUACGUGCCAGCAGCCGCGGUAAUACGUAGGUCCCGAGCGUUGUCCGGAUUUAUUGGGCGUAAAGCGAGCGCAGGCGGUUAGAAAAGUCUGAAGUGAAAGGCAGUGGCUCAACCAUUGUAGGCUUUGGAAACUGUUUAACUUGAGUGCAGAAGGGGAGAGUGGAAUUCCAUGUGUAGCGGUGAAAUGCGUAGAUAUAUGGAAGAACACCGGUGGCGAAAGCGGCUCUCUGGUCUGUAGCUGACGCUGAGGCUCGAAAGCGUGGGGAGCGAACAGG
rnacentral:rRNA from 1 species